GCACCCAUGGAGCAGUAGUUUAGCUCAUUCCCCUCCCACGGCCACGGCCAGGGCGAGGGAAAGACCCGGGUGCAAAUCCCGGUGGGUGCA